rnacentral:rRNA from 1 species
GUAGGUGGCAAGCGUUGUCCGGAAUUAUUGGGCGUAAAGCGCGCGCAGGCGGUUCUUUAAGUCUGAUGUGAAAGCCCACGGCUCAACCGUGGAGGGUCAUUGGAAACUGGAGAACUUGAGUACAGAAGAGGAAAGCGGAAUUCCACGUGUAGCGGUGAAAUGCGUAGAGAUGUGGAGGAACGCCAGUGGCGAAGGCGGCUUUCUGGUCUGUAACUGACGCUGAGGCGCGAAAGCGUGGGGAGCAAACAGGGAUUAGAUACCCUGGUAGUCCACGCCGUAAACGAUGAGUGCUAAGUGUUAGGGGGUUUCCGCCCCCUUAGUGCUGCAGCUAACGCAUUAAGCACUCCGCCUGGGGAUACGGCCGCAAGGCUG